CCAUUUGAGGGUUUGAUCCUGGCCCAGGGUGAACGCUGGCGGCGUGCUUUAAGCAUGCAAGUAGAACGCCCGCGCAAAUUUUCGCAAGAAAAUUUGUUCGGGAGUUGCGAACGGCUGAGUAACACGUAAGAACGUACCUCGUAGUGUGGAAUAACCCCGCGAAAGCGGGGUCAAUACCGCAUAGUCUCGUGCGUAGCACAAGAAAUAUCACCAAUAAACCAAUAGAUACCAAUUACAAAUAAUAAUUGGAAAUUUGUAUUUAUUUGUACUUAUUGGCUAAUUUGGUAUUUCUCUUGCUACGCAAGAGUAAAGCGCAUAACUGCGCGCCAUGAGAGCGGCUUGCGGCCCAUCAGCUUGUUGGUAGGGUAACGGCCUACCAAGGCUACGACGGGUAGGGGAUGUGAGAGCAUGACCCCCCAGAAUAGGACUGAGACACGGCCUAUACACCUACGGGUGGCAGCAACUGGGAAUCGUGUGCAAUGGGCGAAAGCCUGACACCGCGACGCCGCGUGAGGGAUGAAGGCCGGAAGGUCGUAAACCUCUUUUGCCGUCAGCCACUGGCUGAUGGAGAAUAAGCAUCCGCUAACUACGUGAGGUUUUGAAAGAAAAACGUCGGCAUGUAGUAAAAUCUGACUAUUUGCUGGAACACUUGAUUAAUGUCUGAUUACUAAAGUGCCUUUGGCAUUACAGUGAAAAUAUCAGAUAACUCCCGAAAAAAUUUAUCGCAGGUUAAUUAUGGGAAUCAAGCUAUCAGCAGGCAACCCCCCUUUGGGGGAGAGUCCUCAGAGACUAUACGUCAGAGUGCAUUGUAUAAUGUACAAGAUAUAGUCCAAGAGUGAAACAAUGUGAUGGAUGAGGAAGUAGAAAUUUAUCUACCACUUCGUCUCUUGAAGCUGCAGUUUUCCGGUGUCUUUUUUACCCUAAAGGGAAGAAAAGAGUGCCUGAUAACAUUCAAGAAGUAUUGAAAAAUCCAUUAAGUUUAGCAAUUUGGUAUAUGGAUGAUGGCAACCUAGAUAAUAGGUACAAAUAUCAUCUCAAUUCCAGUUUUGCUACUUUUUGUUUCAGCUAUAAAGAAUGUAAUCUGUUGGCUGAAGCUCUAAAAUCAAAUUUUGGAGUGGAGGCAAGAGUACACAAGAGUACCAUGCGAGGUAAAGAAUACUAUCGACUUUACAUAGUUGCUAGUUCAAUGAAGCGUUUUGUCAAAACGAUAAAAAACUUCAUCGUUCCUUGUAUGCAAUACAAGGUCUCGUGUGAGAAAACUUUGUAGUCAUUACCAGCAGCUGCGGUAAUACGUAGGAUGCAAGCGUUACCCGGAUUUAUUGGGCGUAAAGUGUUUCGUAGGCGCCUUGGAAAGUCAAAUUUCAAAUACUUUGGCUCAACCAAAGAAAGGGGUUUGAUACUUCCAGGGUUGGAUUACCUAGGGGUUACCGGAACUACUGGUGUAGGAGUUAAAUCCGUUGAUAUCAGUAGGAACACCAAGGGCGAAGGCAGGUAACUGGGGGUAUAUCGACGCUGAGGAACGAAAGCUAGGGGAGCGAAAGGGAUUAGAGACCCCUGUAGUCCUAUGCAGUAAACUAUCCUCGCUACCCCGGUGGGAGCAAUCUUGUCGGGGGAAGCUAACGCAAUAAGCGAGGCGCCUGGGGAGUACGAACGCAAGUUUAAAACUCAAAGGAAUUGACGGGGACCCGCACAACCAGUGGAGCAUGUGGUUUAAUUCGAAACGAACCGAAGAACCUUACCUAGGUUUGACAUGCUACCGUUUUACGCUUUUAGAAAUAAGAGCGGAUCUGAAAUUUUUUGGAUGGUAGCACAGGUGUUGCAUGGCCGUCGUCAGCUCGUGCCGUAGGGUGUUCCCUUCAGUGGGGUAACGAGCGCAACCCCUGUCCUGUGUUAAAUAUUCACAGGAGACUGCUCGCCUUUGGCGAGAGGAAGUGGGGACGACGUCAGGUCAGCAUGGCCCUUAUACCUAGGGCAACACACAUACUACAAUGGAGCCGACAAUGGGUUGCCAAGCCGCAAGGCGGAGCUAAUCCCAAAAACGGCUUCUCAGUGGGGAUUGAAGGCUGCAACUCGCCUUCAUGAACGUGGAAUUGGUAGUAAUCGGCAGUCAGCUAUAUGCCGGUGAAUACGUUCUCGGGUCUUGUACACAAUCGUCCGUAUUUACGGACAAAAAGCGCGCUGGGCAGUUUAACAAGCAAGGUGGUUUGAAUCCAUCUUAAUAGCCAAAAAA
rfam:Candidatus Woesebacteria bacterium RIFOXYA1_FTLL_43_9 rifoxya1_full_scaffold_4783, whole genome shotgun sequence.